rnacentral:rRNA from 1 species
GACGAACGCUGGCGGCGUGCUUAACACAUGCAAGUCGAACGGAAAGGCCCUGCUUUUGUGGGGUGCUCGAGUGGCGAACGGGUGAGUAACACGUGAGUAACCUGCCCUUGACUUUGGGAUAACUUCAGGAAACUGGGGCUAAUACCGGAUAGGAGCUCCUGCUGCAUGGUGGGGGUUGGAAAGUUUCGGCGGUUGGGGAUGGACUCGCGGCUUAUCAGCUUGUUGGUGGGGUAGUGGCUUACCAAGGCUUUGACGGGUAGCCGGCCUGGGAGGGUGACCGGCCACAUUGGGACGGGGAUACGGCCCAGACUCCUACGGGAGGCAGCGGUGGGGAAUAUUGCACAAUGGGCGGAAGCCUGAUGCAGCAACGCCGCGUGCGGGAUGACGGCCUUCGGGUUGUAAACCGCUUUCGCCUGUGACGAAGCGUGAGUGACGGUAAUGGGUAAAGAAGCACCGGCUAACUACGUG